UACGGAGGGUGCAAGCGUUAUCCGGAUUCACUGGGUUUAAAGGGUGCGUAGGUGGUUUUGUAAGUUAGAGGUGAAAGCCCGGCUCAACUCCGGAAUUGCCUUUAAGACUGCAUCGCUAGAAUUGUGGAGAGGUAAGUGGAAUUCCGAGUGUAGAGGUGAAAUUCGUAGAUAUUCGGAAGAACACCAGUGGCGAAGGCGACUUACUGGACACAUAUUGACGCUGAGGUGCGAAAGCGUGGGGAGCAAACAGG
rnacentral:rRNA from 1 species